CCCAUUAGUCCAAUGUGCUCUAUAGGAUCCCUUUAGGGCCCCCUUUAAACCCCAAUGGGCCCCAUAGGAUCCAUUAGGGGCCCCCUUUAAUCCCAUGGGGCCCCAUAGGAUCCCAUUAGGGCCCCCUUUAAAACCCCAAUGGGCCCCAUAGGAUCCCAUUAGGGCCCCCUUUAAAUCCCAAUGGGCCCCAUAGGAUCCCAUUAGGGCCCCCUUUAAAUCCCAAUGGGCCCCAUAGGAUCCCAUUAGGGCCCCCUUUAAAUCCCAAUGGCCUCAUAGGAUCCCAUUAGUGCCCCAUUAAGUCCAAUGGGCCCCAUAGGAUCCCAUUAGGCCC
rnacentral:lncRNA from 1 species